rnacentral:rRNA from 1 species
UACAGAGGGUGCGAGCGUUAAUCGGAAUUACUGGGCGUAAAGCGCACGUAGUCGGCUUUGCAAGUCGGGUGUGAAAUCCCCGGGCUCAACCUGGGAACUGCAUCCGAGACUGCAUUGCUAGAGUAUGGGAGAGGGAAGCGGAAUUUCUGGUGUAGCAGUGAAAAUGCGUAGAUAUCAGAAGGAACAUCAGUGGCGAAGGCGGCUUCCUGGACCAAUACUGACGAUCAGGUGCGAAAGCGUGGGGAGCAAACAGG